AGUACCAUCAGUACAACCCUCUGCCGCAAGAUCGGCAGACAGAAAAGAUGAAUUCGCCAAUAUUUUAGCGUGCCAUAAUUAUGGUUGGCUUAUCUUCUCGCGCUACGCCUCGACCUAAUUAUGUCAUGGGUUGAGCGCCACCCCUUAUGGGAGACUUUCAAAAUACUUUGCCUUGACCUGUUAUGAGAUCCGCACAAGAAGGAAGAAUCUUCAGAUGCUAAAGUUUGCGACAAGAGCACUUUUUUGACUCGAACGGGAGGUCGAUGCACUCUAGUUCGGCAGUCAGAGAUUGCAAAUUCUUAAGAGAUGCUUCGGCUAAACUCGCACAAUUAUUGCAAUUGUAAUGUUGCUCGAGUUCUAGAGAACCGAAGUUGUUCUAAUUGCACCUCUACUGAGGGUUCUAGAACUUCGACUCGGUCACUUUUACCCUGAUCGUGGAGGAAGCAGGAGUGGUCGAAGGACCGUUUGGAAUCGUUUUUUUGGAAAGCUCGCGGCUAGGUAGAGUUAGGAGUAGGGUAGUGGCGGAACCGUUUGAAACCCUGAUACUCCAGGUGGCAACCGGCAUCAUCCGUAGCAGAGCGACCACUCCAACCGACAACCCAGCGCUUCUGGACUCCACCAAGGGGUCGAAGUUCCGGGUGAACCCCAAGCAGCUCGUCCGUCAACACACGAGCUGGGCGGCGUCCGUCAACACACGCCGCGGUCGAACCCUCGAUCCAACCGACCGAACCGGAACGGCCUCGUGGAGGCCUAGGUACACCGCCAAGUUCCCGCGCGCAUCCGCGCCGUCGUCGCAACCGACGCUAUCAUCGCAGCAUCCUAGCUGCACACCUGUGCGCCCCCGCACACCGGAAGUGAUGCUGAGCACCCGCCGAUAGUGCCAACCCGUCUGCUGUUAGCCGCCGGCGGAACCAUCUCGCCGUAGCCGAAGCUGUAAGCGCGCCACCACCUGAUCGCCGGAUCGCCAACCAACACACGUAAAUCCAUGGUCGUGUAAGUACAAACCCUUUUUCGACAUGCGCAUGAUCGAUCGUUGGCCAGUUCUUUUUCCGCCAACCCCGUGGGCAACAUAAGC